UACGUAAGGUGCGAGCGUUAAUCGGAAUUACGGGGCGUAAAGCGUGCGCAGGCGGUUCGUUGUGUCUGAUGUGAAAGCCCCGGGCUCAACCUGGGAAUGGCAUUGGAAACUGGCGAGCUAGAGUGUGGCAGAGGGGGGUGGAAUUCCGCGUGUAGCAGUGAAAUGCGUAGAGAUGCGGAGGAACACCGAUGGCGAAGGCAGCCCCCUGAGCUAGCACUGACGCUCAGGCACGAAAGCGUGAAAAGCAAACAGG
rnacentral:rRNA from 1 species